rnacentral:rRNA from 1 species
CGCAUUAUAAAACCUAAUUCAUAAAUACUCACUAUUUAUUAAAUAUUACUACCAAGUCCAACUUCAUAAAUAGAUUUACACUAAUUAAUCCGAUUAAAUAUUAUAAAUUGUAGCUCACUUUAAAUCUUCUUUAUUUGCUGCAUUUUGACUUGACAUUUCAACCAAACCGUUAUUAAGUUUUUUACAAAAUUUUUACAAAAUAAACUGACGACAGCAAUACACAAACUGUCUAAGAUUCAAAAAGAAGUAAGUAUAAAUUGAGGAUUAUCAAAUUAAUAAGCAAGCUCCCCUGGAAGGAUAUAUAACACCGCCAAGCUUUUUAAGUUUCAAACAAUUAAAAAAUAAAAUACGAAUUUUUAUUUAGUUUGUACUACUUAAGUAAACAAAUUUUUAAAAUAAAGAA